AGCAGCCGCGGUAAUUCCAGCUCCAAUAGCGUAUAUUAAAGUUGUUGCAGUUAAAAAGCUCGUAGUUGAAUUUCGGGAUCAAUAUGUCGGUCGUGCCUUGGUACGUACUGGUAUCAUUGGUUUCUCCUUUCUGACGAACCAUGAUGUCAUUAAUUUGGUGUUAUGGGAAGUUAGGACUGUUACUUUGAAAAAAUUAGAGUGUUUAAAGCAGGCUUUAGCUUGAAUACAUUAGCAUGGAAUAAUGAAAUAGGACGUUCGAACCUAUUUUGUUGGUUUCUAGGUAUCAACGUAAUGAUUAAUAGGAUAGUUGGGGGCAUUAGUAUUCAAUUGUCAGAGGUGAAA
rnacentral:rRNA from 1 species